rnacentral:misc_RNA from 1 species
UACGUAGGGUCCGAGCGUUGUCCGGAAUUAUUGGGCGUAAAGGGCUCGUAGGCGGUCCGUCAAGUCGACUGUGAAAUCUCAGGGCUCAACCCUGAGCUUGCAUGCGAUACUGGCGGACUUGAGGCAGGUAGGGGAGAGUGGAAUUCCCGGUGUAGCGGUAAAAUGCGCAGAUAUCGGAAGGAACACCGGUAGCGAAGGCUGCUCUCGGGGCCCGACCUGACGCUGAGGAGCGAAAGCGUGGGUAGCAAACAGG